rnacentral:rRNA from 1 species
CCUUACUACAUGGAUAACCGUGGUAAUUCUAGAGCUAAUACAUGCUAAAAACCCCGACUCACGAAGGGGUGUAUUUAUUAGAUAAAAAACCAAUGCCCUUUGGGCUUCAUGGUGAAUCAUAAUAACUUAACGAAUCGCAUGGCCUUGCGCCGGCGAUGGUUCAUUCAAAUUUCUGCCCUAUCAACUUUCGAUGGUAGGAUAGUGGCCUACCAUGGUAUCAACGGGUAACGGGGAAUUAGGGUUCUAUUCCGGAGAGGGAGCCUGAGAAACGGCUACCACAUCCAAGGAAGGCAGCAGGCGCGCAAAUUACCCAAUCCCGACACGGGGAGGUAGUGACAAUAAAUACUGAUACAGGGCUCUUUUGGGUCUUGUAAUUGGAAUGAGUACAAUUUAAAUACCUUAACGAGGAACAAUUGGAGGGCAAGUCUGGUGCCAGCAGCCGCGGUAAUUCCAGCUCCAAUAGCGUAUAUUAAAGUUGUUGCAGUUAAAAAGCUCGUAGUUGAACCUUGGGCCUGGCUGGCCGGUCCGCCUCACCGCGUGUACUGGUCCGGCCGGGCCUUUCCUUCUGGGGAACCGCAUGCCCUUCACUGGGCGUGUGUGGGAACCAGGACUUUUACUUUGAAAAAAUUAGAGUGUUCAAAGCAGGCCUUUGCUCGAAUACAUUAGCAUGGAAUAAUAGAAUAGGACGUGUGGUUCUAUUUUGUUGGUUUCUAGGACCGCCGUAAUGAUUAAUAGGGAUAGUCGGGGGCAUCCGUAUUCAAUUGUCAGAGGUGAAAUUCUUGGAUUUAUUGAAGACGAACUACUGCGAAAGCAUUUGCCAAGGAUGUUUUCAUUAAUCAGUGAACGAAAGUUAGGGGAUCGAAGACGAUCAGAUACCGUCGUAGUCUUAACCAUAAACUAUGCCGACUAGGGAUCGGGGGGUGUUAUCAUUUUGACCUCCUCGGCAC